UACAGGAGCUGAAAGUCAGUUGCCUAGGCUACGAGCUGAGGACGUGUCCCCAGCUGGACGCUUAGGGGAAAGUCCCCGGCCCCUGAGAGGAGAGAGCCACGUGCUCAGGCGCGCUAGGCCGCCUCCAUCGCUCGCUUGAUGAUGAUGAUGAUGAUGAUGAUGAUGGUAUUUGUUAAGCGCUCACUGUGUGCCAAGCACUGUUCGCCGGGCCCCCUCUGCCCGUGGGCUGGGGGUGGUGGAGCGGUGAGCGCGGGGCGGCCGAGCCUGUCGGCUUUCAGGGGAACACAGGCAGCGCGCACAGGUGCACCAGCUUAAUGGGGCUCCAUCUCGGCAAGCCAGC
rnacentral:RNase_MRP_RNA from 1 species